ensembl:lncRNA
UGUGGUGAGUAGCUGACUCAUAGAGAGAGAGAAAGACAAUAGUUUUACAGUUUGAACAAAUUAAGUUCUUCAAAAAUGGAGUUUUUUUUUCUCACUUUCACUUACCUACUCAAACACCCUGCACAAACGGAGAGGGGUGCUAUGUUAGCUAGCUGGCUAUGUCUAUGGCUAUCCAACACUGGAACUACAAGUCAAGAUGCAACCAUUGCUCCACCAUGUCCCUUCUCCCUGAUGGUGAGCGAUUUGGGGAAGGCAUAUGAGAACCUGAUGGCGCAUAAGGAACCACAGCCCAGCCUCAAUCUGGUGGCCUGAACCCCAGCCAUAAGAAGAUAACAAUCCAGAGCAUCCCAAACAUACUCAAAGGGUGACGUGUCAGCGAAGUGUGCAGAAAUUCUUCAGUUGUGUAAACCCACAGUUUCAUCAGCUGUCCAGAUGGCUGGUCUCAGAUGAUCCCACAGGCGAAGCAGCCAGAUAUGGAGGUACUGGGCUGGUGUGGUCUGCAGUUGUGUGGCCAGAUGGACAUACUGCCAAAUUCUCUAAAACAACCUUUGAGUAUGCUUAUGGUGGAGAAAUGAACAUGCAAUUCUCUAGCAACAGCUCUGGUGGACAUUCCUGCAGUUAGCAUGCCAAUUGCAUGCUCCCUCAACUUGAGAAAUCUGUGGUAUUGUAGUGUGUGUCCUUUUAUUGUCCCCGGUACAAGUUGCACCUAUGUAAUGAUCAUGCGGUUUAAUCAGCUUCUUGAUAUGUCUCACCUGUCAGGUGGAUGAAUUAUGGAGAAAUGGAGAAAUGCUCAAUAACAGGGAUGUAAACAAAAUUGCACAAAAUUUGAGAAAUAAGCUUUUUGUGCGUAUGGAAAAUUUAGAGUAUCUUUUAUUUCAGCUCAUGAAACAAGGGACCAACACUUUACAUGUUGCGUUUAUAUUUUUGGUCAGUGUAUUUAUUUAUCUAAUUACAUGUGAAUUUAUUUAUUAUUGUACUGUAUGUAUAUUUA